rnacentral:rRNA from 1 species
AUUGAACGCUAGCGGCAUGCUUAACACAUGCAAGUCGAACGGCAGCGCGGGUAGCUUGCUACCUGGCGGCGAGUGGCGGACGGGUGAGUAAUGCGUAGGAAUCUACCUUAUAGUGGGGGAUAACUCGAGGAAACUCGAGCUAAUACCGCAUAAUCUCUAAGGAGCAAAGCGGGGGACCUUCGGGCCUCGUGCUGGAAGAUGAGCCUACGUCGGAUUAGCUAGUUGGUGGGGUAAUAGCCUACCAAGGCGACGAUCCGUAGCUGGUCUGAGAGGACGAUCAGCCACACUGGGACUGAGACACGGCCCAGACUCCUACGGGAGGCAGCAGUGGGGAAUAUUGGACAAUGGGGGAAACCCUGAUCCAGCAAUGCCGCGUGUGUGAAGAAGGCCUUCGGGUUGUAAAGCACUUUCAGUGGGGAAGAAAGAACCAAAAUUAAUACUUUGGGGUGUUGACGUUACCUACAGAAGAAGCACUGGCUAACUACGUGCCAGCAGCCGCAGUAA